AACGCGAAGAACCUUACCUGGGUUUGACAUGCGGGUGAAACUCUCAUGAAAGUGGGAGCCUCCUUCGGGACACCAGCACAGGUGCUGCAUGGCUGUCGUCAGCUCGUGUCGUGAGAUGUUGGGUUAAGUCCCGCAACGAGCGCAACCCUUGCCCCGUGUUGCUAACAGGUAGAGCUGAGGACUCUCGGGGGACUGCCGGCGUCAAGCCGGAGGAAGGUGGGGACGACGUCAAGUCAUCAUGGCCCUUACGAGUAGGGCUACACACGUGCUACAAUGGGCUGUACAAAGGGUUGCCAAGCCGCGAGGUGGAGCUAAUCCCGUAAAACAGUUCGUAGUCCGGAUCGGAGUCUGCAACUCGACUCCGUGAAGCCGGAAUCGCUAGUAAUCGUAAAUCAGAAUGUUACGGUGAAUACGUUCCCGGGCCUUGUACACACCG
rnacentral:rRNA from 1 species